AUAACUGGCUUGUGACAGCCAUUAGCGACGUUGCUUUUUGAUCCUUCGAUCAGGGCUAUUCCUGUCAUUGCGAAACAGAACUCGCCGCCAAUCGUUGCCCACCAAUAGGGGUCGUGAGCUGAGCUUUGACCGCUGUGAGACAGGUU
rnacentral:ncRNA from 1 species